rnacentral:rRNA from 1 species
CACGUAGGGCGCAAGCGUUGUCCGGAAUUAUUGGGCGUAAAGAGCUCGUAGGCGGUCUGUUGCGUCCGCUGUGAAAACUCGGGGCUUAACCCCGAGCCUGCAGUGGAUACGGGCAGACUAGAGGUAGGUAGGGGAGAAUGGAAUUCCCGGUGUAGCGGUGAAAUGCGCAGAUAUCGGGAGGAACACCGGUGGCGAAGGCGGCUAGCUGGGCCAGUUCUGACGCUGAGGCGCGAAAGCGUGGGGAGCAAACAGG